rnacentral:rRNA from 1 species
GACGAACGCUGGCGGCGUGCUUAACACAUGCAAGUCGAACGGUGAAGGCGGAGCUUGCUCUGCCGGAUCAGUGGCGAACGGGUGAGUAACACGUGGGUGAUCUGCCCUGCACUUCGGGAUAAGCCUGGGAAACUGGGUCUAAUACCGGAUAGGACCACUGCCUGCAUGGGUGGUGGUGGAAAGCUUUUGCGGUGUGGGAUGGGCCCGCGGCCUAUCAGCUUGUUGGUGGGGUGAUGGCCUACCAAGGCGACGACGGGUAGCCGGCCUGAGAGGGUGACCGGCCACACUGGGACUGAGAUACGGCCCAGACUCCUACGGGAGGCAGCAGUGGGGAAUAUUGCACAAUGGGCGCAAGCCUGAUGCAGCGACGCCGCGUGAGGGAUGACGGCCUUCGGGUUGUAAACCUCUUUCAGCACCGACGAAGCGCAAGUGACGGUAGGUGCAGAAGAAGGACCGGCCAACUACGUGCCAGCCGCCGCGGUAA